rnacentral:rRNA from 1 species
CUUGCAGGGUACUCGAGUGGCGAACGGGUGAGUAACACGUGGGUGAUCUGCCCUGCACUUCGGGAUAAGCUUGGGAAACUGGGUCUAAUACCGGAUAGGAACCAUCUUUAGUGUGGUGGUUGGAAAGUUUUUUCGGUGUAGGAUGAGCUCGCGGCCUAUCAGCUUGUUGGUGGGGUAAUGGCCUACCAAGGCGGCGACGGGUAGCCGGCCUGAGAGGGUGUACGGCCACAUUGGGACUGAGAUACGGCCCAG